AUGCGAGUCAUUGUAGCAAUACAAGGCAGACGGCUCAGUAACGCGUAGUCAAUCUACCCUAUGGACGGGAAUAACCUCGGGAAACUGAGAAUAAUACCCGACAGAACAUUAUACCUGGAACGGUUUAUGUUUCAAAUGAUUUAUCGCCGUAGGAUGGGACUGCGGCCUAUCAGUUUGUUGGUGAGGUAAUGGCCCACCAAGACUAUUACAGGUACGGGCUCUGAGAGGAGUAGCCCGGAGAUGGGUACUGAGACACGGACCCAGGCCCUAUGGGGCGCAGCAGGCGAGAAAACUUUGCAAUGUGCGAAAGCACGACAAGGUUAAUCCGAGUGGUUUCUGCUAAAGAAACCUUUUGCUAGUCCUAGAAACACUAGUGAAUAAGGGGUGGGCAAGUUCUGGUGUCAGCCGCCGCGGUAAAACCAGCACCUCAAGUGGUCAGGAUGAUUAUUGGGCCUAGAGCAUCCGUAGCUCGUUUUGUAAGUUUUCGGUUAAAUCCAUACGCUUAACGUAUGGGCUGCCGGGAAUACUGCAUAACUAGGAAGUGGGAGAGGUAGACGGUACUCGGUAGGAAGGGGUAAAAUCCUUUGAUCUAUUGAUGACCACCUGUGGCGAAGGCGGUCUACCAGAACACGUUCGACGGUGAGGGAUGAAAGCUGGGGGAGCAAACCGGAUUAGAUACCCGGGUAGUCCCAGCUGUAAACUAUGCAAACUCAGUGAUGCAUUGGCUUGUGGCCAAUGCAGUGCUGCAGGGAAGCCGUUAAGUU
rnacentral:rRNA from 1 species